CACGUAGGGCGCAAGCGUUGUUCGGAAUUACUGGGCGUAAAGGGCGCGCAGGCGGCUCUGAAAGUCAGAUGUGAAAGCCCCGGGCUUAACCUGGGAAUUGCAUUUGAUACUCUGGAGCUUGAGUGUGGGAGAGGAGAGUGGAAUUCCCAGUGUAGAGGUGAAAUUCGUAGAUAUUCGGAGGAACACCAGUGGCGAAGGCGGCUCACUGGUCCGGUACUGACGCUGAGGUGCGAAAGCGUGGGGAGCAAACAGG
rnacentral:rRNA from 1 species